AACAUAAAAUUAGUCGACUAUUAUGAAAUGUGUAUUUUUAUAUGUAAUUACCAUUUUUUACAGUGGUUGAACUGAGCUCAGCACUUGCAAAAUCGUCAAUAUUUUCUUCGGGAAUAGCUCCUUUGGAAGACCUAGUGCUGGAAAAAAUUAAUGGACUAGUCUACAUAUAGACGGAUACACAUAGCUAGUGUAGGACACAUGAACAUCAGAACCGCUAGAUCAGAUCGAGGGAGCAUGCAACAUUGCAGUAUGGAUAAAUCGGCGGCAUGGGAAACUUAUGUUCACAUUGACGCAGAUUCUCAACGGACAUGGUCCCCGACGAGGCUAUGCUAUGGCUAUGCGCCAGCUUUGGAAUAGCGGAGAACGCCGAGCACGACCACCUGCGUCAGAUUCGUAGAAGCCCGCGGGGACGAGCAAAAAGCAUCGUAGGUGUGCCCCUCACAGAGGUUUGCAGCCACGCAUGCUGGAAAGCCAAGCAAAUUGGACGGCGAUUCGCAGCCUUGCGACGGUCUGUAUAUACAUAUAUUCAAAAUACUUUCAUUCUACAUUUGAACUAUCAAGGGUCGAACCAAUAUUAUCUGAUGAGUAGGAUAUACAGAAUAGGAUGUAAUAUGCUCCCUAAACGCUGUUGCCACCCAUUUUAAUUCGACAUAUAGAAAAUUCAAGUUAUAGACGUUCGAGUUAUAGAGUUUCAACUUUAUGUUGAUCUACCUAACUUUUCUAUGAAGUCUUAUCUUCUGUGAUUUCUUAUCUGACAAUAUGUUUAAUCAUAUUGGAAGACGAUAAGCUUAAUUUUAGCCAGAGGGCGAGUUCUGGCAGCUAUAGCAAGUUCCCCUUUGGCAAUCUAUAAAUAAGGCCGCAAAUCUUUCGAAAAAUAAUCCAAAACGAUUUGUUUUAAGGUGCUCCUGUUUAAACAAAUUUAUGUUAUCGAUGUGUUUCAUGUUAUCAUCGUUUCUGGCAAACAAAUACAGCAUGCAAAAUAGCAAAACGAUGGCAGAAAAACGCGAUUUAAGUAGUUUAACUGUGGUUAAAAGCAUACAUAUUGAAAAUUAAAUUGCAAUGGUCAAAAUUAUAUCGAAUAUAUUGACGUUGACAUGUGUGUAUAUAUAGUGUAUGUCUCUCUCUCUUUAUUGAGAUAUGUUAAAGAAUUGCCCGAACAUAAAACAAUUUAUGCGUCUGUAAUGAUAAACCUUUUAAAAAUACUAAGGAUUAAUUCGAAAAUAAAUAAAUAGCACUGGAUAUGCAACAUGCUGUAGAUGGAAGUACUUAAAGCGAAAAUUCUCCAAUGGGAUAGGAUCAUCGAACGGUGCCGAUACAGAACAUCACUACCUGCAGAGCAGCGAAAACCAUGUGCAAGGAGCGCAGUGGGAGAUUCAGCCGCUACUUACUGUACCUACCACGAAAUGAUUGAACACUGUUAGUGGGAAUACUUACAGGUUUGUUUGCGCCGCACGCAGUUAACAGCAGCAGUUGCAGAAAAUGCAUCUGCAACUCUCACCUGCAAGGAAAAGAAAGUUCUUUCAAUUUUAACGGGCCACCAAUUUUAUGGAUGCGUCGGACUAUGACCAGCCUGCGAAUGUAUGCUGCAUAGCCGUUUACGUAAGGAUGUUUUUUCCACAUAAUUUGCGUGUUUUACACUAUUGUAAAAUUGAAAUAGCUACGAAACAACAUCCACGUGCUUACUGAAUCCCUCACACACUCUUCCUCGUACAGUGUACGCCUUCUGCCAGAGGGAAGCGGGAAAGCAACACACAUAUUGAUACACACACAUACAGAAUAUCGGCUAUAAAUGUAGAGACGUACCCCUAACCGGCACUCACAACGUUCCCGAUUUUUGUGACUAUAUUAGAGAAUACUGCAAUUAGUAAGGAUAAGUAAAGUUCUUCUAAACGCCCUAUAAUUUUUGUUCUAUCCAACUGUGUUGUUUUUGAUUGAUAAAGUUUAAAACAUCAAAAACAAAAUCAAAAUAAUUGCUUUGUGGUUUUAUUUUUUAUUUUCCGAUCCAUUUCGAUUGGACAAGAGGUAGUUGGUAACGAUUUAAGAUAUAUUCCCUCAAAUGAAAUCUGAUUCUGGAUAUGCUCCAAUAAUUUUCGUACUAGCACCUUGCAAAAGUGAUCAGGCCAGAUCCAUUGAACACAAAUUUAAUAAAAAUUAUUGUGCAGCUUGAAACAUUGUGGAACGAACUAUUAGAGGUCUUAAAAGUAGGUUUGGAUAUUGUCAUGCAGCAUUAUUAAUGUUUGCUACGCCUUGCACAUUAUUUGACGCAGACUUAAAUCGCCAGUCGCAAAUGAUUUAGUUUGCGCCGAACCUUAAACGUGAUUGGAGAAAGCAUAGCUCGUACUCCUUAUGAAUAUACACAAACAAACCGGAAAAAUACAGAAAAAUACCUUUUUUUUUCGUUGGUGACUUUUUGUCUAUUUUUGGUUUAUUUAUAAUCAGCUAAGUCGUACUAAUUUUCAAAAUAAUUAAUUGAAUUUAAAUGAAUUAUGUUUUGUAUCUGCUUCAGCAUACUCGAUUGGAUCCAUCCAUCACCAAGCAGGAUCGUACACAUCGGAGUCAAUUUCAAAACUUCGAGAAUUUCUGCGUCUUGCUUUGGUGUUGUCCUAAGACCUCUCCUCCUCGAUUGGUUGUAUAGCCACUUGGGAGAAUGCUCCGCCUUUUGCACUCUUUACCUCCUGCUUGUUUCGGGCCAGCUUCUUGCGUUUUACAACUUUCUAGUCCGACCAUAUCUUUCAAGAUAAGACGAUUUAAAAAAAUCCACGAUUACAACUUGAAACACUUGCCUUCAUCCACCCGGAUGGAUCCUUAGUUGGGGUCCUGAUGCUCCAUUUCUGCCAGUAUCUCAUCUUGACUAGUUGUCUUAUGUUUUAUAACAGUUUGAUUCAAUAGCGUUUAGUAAACAGCUGACAGGACUGCAGCUCAAAGUAUUUUAUUUUCUUAGCAACUAUCGGCAAUUAAACUUUUAAGUUAUACGAAAACAAAAUUUC